CCAAGGGCUAGGUUAAUAGAAACCGAGGACUUGUGGCGUCCUAGAUUUAAUUUUUAAGCCUUGGU
rnacentral:tRNA from 1 species